UACGUAGGGGGCAAGCGUUGUCCGGAUUUACUGGGCGUAAAGAGCGCGUAGGCGGAAGUUUAAGCGGUGCCUGAAAGCCCCCGGCUCAACCGGGGAGGGUGGUGCCGAACUGGGCUUCUUGAGGGCGAUAGAGGAGAGUGGAAUUCCGGGUGUAGCGGUGAAAUGCGUAGAUAUCGGGAGGAACACCUGUGGCGAAAGCGGCUCACUGGACCACAACUGACGCUGAGGCGCGAAAGCUAGGGGAGCAAACAGG
rnacentral:rRNA from 1 species